rnacentral:rRNA from 1 species
GACGAACGCUGGCGGCGUGCUUAACACAUGCAAGUCGAACGGUAAGGCCCUUCGGGGUACACGAGUGGCGAACGGGUGAGUAACACGUGGGUGAUCUGCCCUGCACUUCGGGAUACGCCUGGGAAACUGGGUCUAAUACCGGAUAGGACCACUGCCUGCAUGGGUGGUGGGGGAAAGCUUUUGCGGUGUGGGAUGGGCCCGCGGCCUAUCAGCUUGGUGGUGGGGUGAUGGCCUACCAAGGCGACGACGGGUAGCCGGCCUGAGAGGGUGACCGGCCACACUGGGACUGAGAUACGGCCCAGACUCCUACGGGAGGCAGCAGUGGGGAAUAUUGCACAAUGGGCGCAAGCCUGAUGCAGCGACGCCGCGUGAGGGAUGACGGCCUUCGGGUUGUAAACCUCUUUCAGCACCGACGAAGCGCAAGUGACGGUAGGUGCAGAAGAAGGACCGGCCAACUACGUGCCAGCCGCCGCCGUAA